UAAGUGAAGAGUUUGAUCCUGGCUCAGAGUGAACGCUGGCGGCAGGCCUAACACAUGCAAGUCGAACGGCAGCACAGCAGUAGCAAUACUGUGGGUGGCGAGUGGCGGACGGGUGAGGAAUACAUCGGAAUCUGCCUUAUCGUGGGGGAUAACGUAGGGAAACUUACGCUAAUACCGCAUACGACCUACGGGUGAAAGCGGGGGAUCGCAAGACCUCGCGCGAUAAGAUGAGCCGAUGUCCGAUUAGCUAGUUGGCGGGGUAAUGGCCCACCAAGGCGACGAUCGGUAGCUGGUCUGAGAGGAUGAUCAGCCACACUGGAACUGAGACACGGUCCAGACUCCUACGGGAGGCAGCAGUGGGGAAUAUUGGACAAUGGGCGCAAGCCUGAUC
rnacentral:rRNA from 1 species